rnacentral:tRNA from 1 species
GGUCGUGUCCGAGUGGUUAAGGAGAUUGACUAGAAAUCAAUUGGGCUUUGCCCGCACAGGUUCGAAUC